rnacentral:rRNA from 1 species
CUACGUGCCAGCAGCCGCGGUAAUACGUAGGUCCCGAGCGUUAUCCGGAUUUAUUGGGCGUAAAGCGAGCGCAGGCGGUUAGAUAAGUCUGAAGUUAAAGGCUGUGGCUUAACCAUAGUACGCUUUGGAAACUGUUUAACUUGAGUGCAGAAGGGGAGAGUGGAAUUCCAUGUGUAGCGGUGAAAUGCGUAGAGAUGUGGAGGAAUACCGAUGGCGAAGGCAGCCCCCUGGGAUAAUACUGACGUUCAUGCUCGAAAGCGUGGGUAGCAAACAGGAUUAGAUACCCUGGUAGUCCACGCCCUAAACGAUGUCAAUUAGCUGUUGGUGCACUAGAUGCAUUAGUAGCGAAGCUAACGCGUGAAAUUGACCGCCUGGGGAGUACGGUCGCAAGAUUAAAACUCAAAGGAAUUGACGGGGACCCGCACAAGCGGUGGAUGAUGUGGAUUAAUUCGAUGCAACGCGAAGAACCUUACCUGGUCUUGACAU